rnacentral:tRNA from 1 species
UCCCCAGAAGUCCAGUGUUUAAGACUCUGUGCUUCCACUGCAGGGAACACAGGUUCGAUCCCUAGCUGGGGAA